UUUUCCAAACUGGCCGGCAGAGCCAGAAGGAAGUGAAGGCAUUAAAACUAACUUUGGUUGGUUGCUACCUUCUUAGUGCUGAACCUAUAACCUUUGUGAGUUGAUUGAUAGAGAACAAGAGAGCGCAGUCCUCGUUCCACUACCAGCUCUCUAUUUCAGUGCUUCUCUCCUACCAGAGGUGCAAGGAGUGAUCCUAGAACCACAGAUACAGCCAAGACCACGGAGAGCUUUUGACGUCAGGGGUCCACUUUCUCCACUGAACCUUUGGAGGCAGAAUAUCCAGCUUCUGGAGAGAGUUGGGAAAGGAUUUCUUUCAACUGGUAAACAUCCUCCUUCAGCCAAAGGAACUCUAGCAGAGCCUUCAUGGAUGAUAUCUGUCACACAUGCAGCAACUGCAGUUUGGAAGGCAGUGGUGAACGGAGCCAUGCACUAUAUCUAGAAGACACAAGGAUGAGAGAGCCACCUGAUCUUGUCAUUGAUAAACUUUGAGAUUUUCUCUGGUGUACUCUUGAUCUGGAAAUGGAAAGGCUCAAAUAAUGACGUAAUUUUUUCAGAUUGGAACCUUACAUGACCAUGAAACUAUUCCUUUCUAUUCAGAAGACUGAACUAGAGGAAGCAUGAGAGACUCCUUUCUUUAAAAAAACAGCUCUCUGUCUGUUUCACUUAAAAGAUUUGUGGGAUUGAAAAUCACCCUAAUGAAGCAGGCAGAUUUUUUGGUAGUCUCAGAGACCCAGAAAACUUAAUGAAACUUGCCUUUUGUUGCCCAACACUGAAGAGAACUAGGAAGUAAAGGGUGAAAAUCUUAAUUAUUCCUAAAUUACUUUUAAUAUUAGAAUGUACUUUUUUGGUUUAUCUUUUUCUAGCCUUGAGCCUUAUUCUUGUCCAAUCAACAGAUUCCAGUAUAGAAGUAGAGGCACCUUCUAAGUUAAGUCUUUCAAAGUAAAUACCUGUUAAACUUGAGGUAUUAUUCUCCGUUUGCAGGCAUUCUAAAGUUGAAUGAUACUGAAACAAAGAGGUAUUUUAUAGAGCAAAGGCAAGUAGUAGUAGUAGAAUAAGCCUCUGUGUGUGAAUUAAG